rnacentral:rRNA from 1 species
GGCGGGACACGUGGUAUCCUGUCUGAAUAUGGGGGGACCAUCCUCCAAGGCUAAAUACUCCUGACUGACCGAUAGUGAACCAGUACCGUGAGGGAAAGGCGAAAAGAACCCCGGCGAGGGGAGUGAAAAAGAACCUGAAACCGUGUACGUACAAGCAGUGGGAGCCUCUUUAUGGGGUGACUGCGUACCUUUUGUAUAAUGGGUCAGCGACUUAUAUUCUGUAGCAAGGUUAACCGAAUAGGGGAGCCGAAGGGAAACCGAGUCUUAACUGGGCGUUAAGUUGCAGGGUAUAGACCCGAAACCCGGUGAUCUAGCCAUGGGCAGGUUGAAGGUUGGGUAACACUAACUGGAGGACCGAACCGACUAAUGUUGAAAAAUUAGCGGAUGACUUGUGGCUGGGGGUGAAAGGCCAAUCAAACCGGGAGAUAGCUGGUUCUCCCCGAAAGCUAUUUAGGUAGCGCCUCGUGAAUUCAUCUCCGGGGGUAGAGCACUGUUUCGGCUAGGGGGCCAUCCCGGCUUACCAACCCGAUGCAAACUGCGAAUACCGGAGAAUGUUAUCGCGGGAGACACACGGCGGGUGCUAACGUCCGUCGUGAAGAGGGAAACAACCCAGACCGCCAGCUAAGGUCCCAAAGUCAUGGUUAAGUGGGAAACGAUGUGGGAAGGCUCAGACAGCCAGGAUGUUGGCUUAGAAGCAGCCAUCAUUUAAAGAAAGCGUAAUAGCUCACUGGUCGAGUCGGCCUGCGCGGAAGAUGUAACGGGGCUAAACCAUGCACCGAAGCUGCGGCAGCGACACGAAGUGUUGUUGGGUAGGGGAGCGUUCUGUAAGCCUGUGAAGGUGUGCUGUGAGGCAUGCUGGAGGUAUCAGAAGUGCGAAUGCUGACAUAAGUAACGAUAAAGCGGGUGAAAAGCCCGCUCGCCGGAAGACCAAGGGUUCCUGUCCAACGUUAAUCGGGGCAGGGUGAGUCGACCCCUAAGGCGAGGCCGAAAGGCGUAGUCGAUGGGAAACAGGUUAAUAUUCCUGUACCAGGUGUUACUGCGAAGGGGGGACGGAGAAGGCUAUGUUGGCCGGGCGACGGUUGUCCCGGUUUAAGCGUGUAGGUGUGUGUUCCAGGUAAAUCCGGUUCACUUUAACACUGAGGCGUGAUGA